AUUGAUCACAAACAUAAUACUGCAGCCUGCAGAGAUGCAAUCGGAACAUCAUUUGUGCAUUAACUGAAAAAGAACCACGCUUGUUGUUGCACAACUCUAUCAAGCCCACAUUCUUUAUUGCACUGGAACACCAAGUUUUUGGCUUGGUUGAACGACACUUGCAUAAGAAUCAACAUCAUCAGCAAAAAUAACAUCUUCAAAACACAGUUAAUGAUAUAAAACCUUGAAUAAAACAGGACUUAGGUUUUCAUAGUUACUAAUAAAAUUACCGCAUAUUAAGCAAAAUUAAUCACUAGAUAAUUAAUCACUAAAUGAAACCAAUCUUUUUCAACUAACAUAUUAACUGAAUUGCUAGAAAUAGAAUAAGUUACACUUUUUAUAUUAUCCCAAGUUGAUCUUUUUUUUAAUAACACUAACAGUAAAACCUGUUAUAAUUUCUACAAACAAAUUGUGGUGUAACACAUUUUACUGAAAACCUCAUCAUAAAUUUCACCUGUCUGUUGAAACACAUUCUUGGGCUUCAAAAACAUUUUAACAGUCUUUCCACUGUAUUGUUAAGGUACAAAGCAGGGAUAUUAUAUUACAUUAAUUCCUUGUGUUUUGGCUCUCGUGUUACUUUUUGUAAAUUUCCCCACUGGAUUAAUGAAUUAAUACAUU